UGAUAAUACUGUAUGACCGAUAGUAAGGCAGAAAUAAUACUGUGGUUGAAAAGACUGUUUGUGAAGCUGUUUCAUACCUAAACAUCUUACAACUGCUCUCUCUGUGUCAGCUGCAGAGCGAACACAGAUUUGAAUUUUAAUAGACACGGCCGAAUCGUUGUCUAUUAGAAAUAGGAUUGCGUGGGUGUUUGAAUAGAGAUUGCAAUCUUUUAACAAUAAAUUGUGAAAAAACGAAACAACUGGAAAUAAAACACUUGUUUGUUGUGUGUUGAACUGGUUCCUGAGAGCUCUACAUGGCUUAUGCCCUCCAAGAAAUUUAAGGUCAAGACCCUUGUUUUUGACUACAUAUCUGCACAAUGAAAAUAUUUAUGGCAAGAAAUCUCUUUCUUUUUACAUUUUAACUUUUGUCUCUAGUGGAUACGAAGAAACUGUCAUGCAUCUGUCACUAAUAUAAUGCCAUUUGUUUGAUUCUUCAGUCGGAAACCAGGUUGUUAUAAAAAUGUUUAGCACAGUGGUUUUCCCAAUUAAUGUCAGGCAUGACAUACACCACCCAUACCCUUCGUUCUCAUCUGCGAGGUUUUCAUCGAGACAUUUACAGAUCUGUGAUCAUGGUAGCAUGUUAAGAUGCUGUCAUCCUAUUGUGUCAGUUGCCUCCGGAUAAUGAAAGCAAAUUGAAUAAACUCCUCGACCAAAGUUAUAACUUAAAGUGAGUGACAAGAGCCUACGGAAUCCUGUUUUAAGUUGAAAGUCUUCAGACUUCAAGGUUUGUGGUUUUCAAUUUACUAGUUUUAUGUGCCAGUUCUCUGCAUCAAAAAACAUGAACUGUAAUGCAAAUAGAGAGUCAUGCUGUGACAAAAGCUUAAAAACUACUUCGAUAAGAGACAGAAAUAUUCUCAGUGCAGUUUGAAUUUGAACAAAAAAGCACUGUCUGUGUAGUUGUGGGAUAUGAUAUACAGCAUUUCUCUGCCCGUUUAGCAUGAACUGUGCUUCAUUGUAUUAAGUACAAUUUUAAUCAAACUAACCUGAUAACAACUUUGUUUAAUGACUUUGUUUAUAUUUACAUUGUUCAUUUUACAUUGGCAAUUGCAAAUCGUACCUGUGGAGAUUUUCAAGUUUCAGCCUGAAAAGUCGGCGCCGAUAGCCUUGUUGUUAGUGAGUCGACAUAUAGCGCAACUGCGCUCACGGUGAGCUGAGUACGAUUCCCGCCUCGAGAUCCUUUGCCUAUAGGCUUUCCUGUCAGCUCUCCACUGUCCUCUCAUAAAAAAGCCCAUACAUAUAACAUAAAAAAGUUUCAGCCUGAAAAAACUGACAUUUAAUUGCAAUAAAUCAUAGUCUAAAAACUAUCCAUAGUCUCAAAAUAUGUCCCAUGACAGAACUGAAACUCUAGAGCAGGGGUUCUCAACUCUGACCCUCGAGGUUUAUUCACUUACAAAGUAUAGCUCCAACCUUGGUUAAACUCACCUGCCUUCUAGUAAACCUGAAGACUUUGGUUAAGACUUUGAGGUCAGAGUUGAACUGAAUAGACAUUUGCUCACUUCAUUCAUUCUGUUUGUCUCUUCAAUAGCACGUCUUUGUUUCCAAUUGCCUUAUUUUCCCUGACCCUGUAUACUAUUACAAAAGGGAAUAGAUAGAUAUCUCUGAGGAUGAAUAUACAGUAUGCCACAGUCUGCUUACUAAUGGGUGACACAAAUGCAAUAACACAUUGGCAUGAUGAAUAUGCAGUCUAAUGUUUUUCUAUGGAAUCUAUAAAGAAAAAGCUUCCCUCCCAUCUCUUUUUUUAUCUGUUUAUACAGCUAAAAGUAAUUUUGAGGUGUUUCUCUGUCUUGUGGUAAUUACAUUAGGACUUUAGCAAAG
ensembl:lncRNA